AUUGAACGCUGGCGGCAGGCCUAACACAUGCAAGUCGAACGGUAACAGGAAGCAGCUUGCUGCUUUGCUGACGAGUGGCGGACGGGUGAGUAAUGUCUGGGAAACUGCCUGAUGGAGGGGGAUAACUACUGGAAACGGUAGCUAAUACCGCAUAACGUCGCAAGACCAAAGAGGGGGACCUUCGGGCCUCUUGCCAUCGGAUGUGCCCAGAUGGGAUUAGCUAGUAGGUGGGGUAACGGCUCACCUAGGCGACGAUCCCUAGCUGGUCUGAGAGGAUGACCAGCCACACUGGAACUGAGACACGGUCUAGACUCCUACGGGAGGCAGCAGUGGGGAAUAUUGCACAAUGGGCGCAAGCCUGAUGCAGCCAUGCCGCGUGUAUGAAGAAGGCCUUCGGGUUGUAAAGUACUUUCAGCGGGGAGGAAGGGAGUAAAGUUAAUACCUUUGCUCAUUGACGUUACCCGCAGAAGAAGCACCGGCUAACUCCGUG
rnacentral:rRNA from 1 species